CAGGCCUAACACAUGCAAGUCGAACGCUAUAUUUAUAUAGAGUGGCGCACGGGUGAGUAACACGUGGGAAUCUGCCCUUCUGCCUGGGAUAACAGUUGGAAACGACUGCUAAUACCGGAUACGCCCUUCGGGGGAAAGGUCCGCCGCAGAAGGAGGAGCCCGCGCUCGAUUAGCUAGUUGGUGAGGUAAUGGCUCACCAAGGCAACGAUCGAUAGCUGGUCUGAGAGGAUGAUCAGCCACACUGGGACUGAGACACGGCCCAGACUCCUACGGGAGGCAGCAGUGGGGAAUAUUGGACAAUGGGGGCAACCCUGAUCCAGCAAUGCCGCGUGUGUGAUGAAGGCCUUAGGGUUGUAAAGCACUUUCACUGGUGAAGAUGAUGACGGUAACCAGAGAAGAAGCCCCGGCUAACUUCGUGCCAGCAGCCGCGGUAAUACGAAGGGGGCGAGCGUUGUUCGGAAUUACUGGGCGUAAAGGGAGCGCAGGCGGUUCAUUAAGUUAGGCGUGAAAGCCCCGGGCUCAACCUGGGAACUGCGCUUAAUACUGGUGAGCUAGAAAACAGGAGAGGGUAGUGGAAUUUCCAGUGUAGAGGUGAAAUUCGUAGAUAUUGGAAAGAACACCGGUGGCGAAAGCGGCUACCUGGCCUGAU
rnacentral:rRNA from 1 species